AGAGAAUUGCUAGCUUGCUAAUAAUUCUCUAGUGGCGCACGGGUGAGUAACACGUGAGUAACCUGCCCCCGAGAGCGGGAUAGCCCUGGGAAACUGGGAUUAAUACCGCAAGUAUCGAAAGAUUAAAGCAGCAAUGCGCUUGGGGAUGGGCUCGCGGCCUAUUAGUUAGUUGGUGAGGUAACGGCUCACCAAGGCGAUGACGGGUAGCCGGUCUGAGAGGAUGUCCGGCCACACUGGAACUGAGACACGGUCCAGACACCUACGGGUGGCAGCAGUCGAGAAUCAUUCACAAUGGGGGAAACCCUGAUGGUGCGACGCCGCGUGGGGGAAUGAAGGUCUUCGGAUUGUAAACCCCUGUCAUGUGGGAGCAAAUUAAAAAGAUAGUACCACAAGAGGAAGAGACGGCUAACUCUGUGCCAGCAGCCGCGGUAAUACAGAGGUCUCAAGCGUUGUUCGGAAUCACUGGGCGUAAAGCGUGCGUAGGCUGUUUCGUAAGUCGUGUGUGAAAGGCGCGGGCUCAACCCGCGGACGGCACAUGAUACUGCGAGACUAGAGUAAUGGAGGGGGAACCGGAAUUCUCGGUGUAGCAGUGAAAUGCGUA
rnacentral:rRNA from 1 species